UUCUGGCUCAGAGCGAACGCUGGCGGCAGGCCUAACACAUGCAAGUCGAGCGGCCGUAGCAAUACGGCAGCGGCAGACGGGAGAGUAACACGUGGGAACGCACCCUUCGGUUCGGGAUAACCCAGGGAAACUUGGGCUAAUACCGGAUACGCCCUUACGGGGAAAGAUUUAUUGCCGAAGGAACGGCCCGCGUCCGAUUAGCUAGUUGGUGAGGUAACGGCUCACCAAGGCGACGAUCGGUAGCUGGUCUGAGAGGAUGACCAGCCUCACUGGGACUGAGACACGGCCCAGACUCCUACGGGAGGCAGCAGUGGGGAAUAUUGGACAAUGGGCGCAAGCCUGAUCCAGCCAUGCCGCGUGGGUGAUGAAGGCCCUAGGGUUGUAAAGCCCUUUCAGUGGGGAAGAUAAUGACGGUACCCGCAGAAGAAGCCCCGGCUAACUUCGUGCCAGCAGCCGCGGUAAUACGAAGGGGGCUAGCGUUGCUCGGAAUUACUGGGCGUAAAGCGCACGUAGGCGGCUUUCUAAGUCGGGGGUGAAAUCCUGGAGCUCAACUCCAGAACUGCCUUCGAUACUGGAAAGCUCGAGUCCGGGAGAGGUGAGUGGAACUGCGAGUGUAGAGGUGAAAUUCGUAGAUAUUCGCAAGAACACCAGUGGCGAAGGCGGCUCACUGGCCCGGUACUGACGCUGAGGUGCGAAAGCGUGGGGAGCAAACAGGAUUAGAUACCCCGGUAGUCCACGCCGUAAACGAUGGAUGCUAGCCGUUGGCGAGCUUGCUCGUCAGUGGCGCAGCUAACGCUUUAAGCAUCCCGCCUGGGGAGUACGGUCGCAAGAUUAAAACUCAAAG
rnacentral:rRNA from 1 species